AAAUGAUUUGGCCAGAUGGAGAGUGAGAGCCCAUGAAUGGGAUGUGUAAAUGGUCACUACCUAACAACAUGAAGACUCACAAUCCUCUGGCACUGCAUCCUGUACAUGAAGUGCACUGAAGCAAGUCUGGUAUGGUUGUCAGAACUGUCAUGAGGCCAGCAGUCCACCACAUUCAAGGGAAAUGCCAUGUACUGCUUAAAGUGAAUGUGUUACAGGAACUGCUACAGGGAGAUGUCUGUUCCUGGGAAAAGUUAAGGGACAACCUUGGGGUAGGCUAAGCACCAGAAUUGCAAGAGAGAUUUCUUCCCUACCUUAAGCUGGA